rnacentral:tRNA from 1 species
GGAAUAUAGCUCAGUUGGCAGGUUGCUUGCCUUGCAUGCACAGGGCCCUGAGUUCAAUCCCCAGUGCCA